GACGAACGCUGGCGGCGUGCUUAACACAUGCAAGUCGUACGAUGACCCGGCUCUUCGGCGCUGGUGAUUAGUGGCGAACGGGUGAGUAACACGUGGGUGACCUGCCCUGCACUCUGGGAUAAGCCCGGGAAACUGGGUCUAAUACUGGAUACGACCAGUGGCCGCAUGGUCUGCUGGUGGAAAGCCCUUCGGGGUGGUGUGGGAUGGGCCCGCGGCCUAUCAGCUUGUUGGUGGGGUGAUGGCCUACCAAGGCGACGACGGGUAGCCGGCCUGAGAGGGUGUCCGGCCACACUGGGACUGAGACACGGCCCAGACUCCUACGGGAGGCAGCAGUGGGGAAUCUUGCACAAUGGGCGAAAGCCUGAUGCAGCGACGCCGCGUGAGGGAUGACGGCCUUCGGGUUGUAAACCUCUUUCGGCAGGGAACAAGCCUGGGGGUUUUCUUCUGGGUGAGGGUACCUGCGGAAGAAGCACCGGCUAACUACGUG
rnacentral:rRNA from 1 species